GUGACGUUGAGAUUUUUGGCCACAGGAGAUUCUUAUACCAGUCUACAGUAUCUAUUUCGUAUAUCAAAACAAAGGAUAUCGGUUAUAGUUCCUGAAGUCUGUGAUGCUAUAAUUGAGGUGUUAAAGGAUUAUGUUAAGAUACCAUCAUCCGAAGAAGAGUGGCUUACCAUAGCGAAAGAGUUUGAGAGCAAAUGGAAUUUCCCACAUGUCAUAGGAGCAAUGGAUGGGAAGCAUGUUAUAUUACAGUCGCCGAUAAAUAGUGGCAAUGAUUAUGACUGUUACAAAAUGUUUCCAAGUAUAGUGCUGUUUGCUUUAGUUGACGCUAACUAUAAAUUUCUGUACGUAGACGUUGGCAGCAAAGGACGUAUAUCAGAUGGCGGUGUGUUUAAAAAUACCAAUUUAUAUAAAAAGGUCGAAAAGAAGGAAUUGAACAUUCCUUCGCCAGAAAUAUUACAAAUACCGUAUAAAAUUGCAGUGCCCUAUUUUAUUCUAGGCGAUAAAGCUUUUGCUCUCAAUGAUUACACAUUGAAACCUUAUGAAGGUACUCCAGAAAGAGGUUCAAUGGAAAGGAUUUUCAAUUACAGGCUGUCCAGAGCAAGAAGAGUUGUGGAGAAUGCCUUUGGCAUUUUAAGCUCCGUUUUUAGAGUACUGAGGAAGCCGCUACUAUUAGAACCAGAAAAAGCUACGAAAGUCGUAUUGACUACCAUAUGCUUAUAUAACUACUUGCGUAGAGAUUUAGCUUCCUCACAAAGGUUCACUCCCCCAGGAUCAUUCGAUGCCGAAGUUGAAGGGACAGUAAUACCCGGCCGAUGGCGACAGGAUACAGAAAUGUCAUCAAUGCUAUCUAUUCAAGCCAUACCACGGCGAGGAUCAACAAAUAUAAAAGAAAUACGUUCACAUUUAGGGAGACAUUUCAUAACAAACGAAGCAAUUUCUUGGCAGAAUAAUUAUCAGUAAAUAAUAGGUACUCACUUCUUCACCUAAAGUAUCUUGUGUAUUUCCUGGGUGAUUUCUAUCUCCUAGAAAACUGAAGGCUUCAUAGGCAUACCAAUUCGAAACAUAUAUUUCACCACGACCUGCAGUAUAAAAUAAAAAAAAAUAAUAUUAGAAAUAAUAU